AGAGUUUGAUCCUGGCUCAGAUUGAACGCUGGCGGCAGGCUUAAUACAUGCAAGUCGAACGGUAACAGCAGGAAGCUUGCUUCCUGGCUGACGAGUGGCGGACGGGUGAGUAAUACCUGGGGAGCUGCCUGAAUGAGGGGGGCAACACCUGGAAACGGGUGCUUAUACCGCGUAAGCCCUGAGGGGGAAAGGCUGGGCAACCAGUCGCAUUCAGAUGCGCCCAGGUGGGAUUAGCUAGUUGGUGGGGUAACGGCCUACCAAGGCGACGAUCUCUAGCUGGUCUGAGAGGAUGAUCAGCCACACUGGAACUGAGACACGGUCCAGACUCCUACGGGAGGCAGCAGUAGGGAAUAUUGCACAAUGGGGGAAACCCUGAUGCAGCCAUGCCGCGUGUGUGAAGAAGGCCUUUGGGUUGUAAAGCACUUUCAGUAUGGAGGAAGUGUAGUAUGUUAACAGCAUGCUGCAUUGACGUUACAUACAGAAGAAGCACCGGCUAACUCCGUGCCAGCAGCCGCGGUAAUACGGAGGGUGCGAGCGUUAAUCGGAAUAACUGGGCGUAA
rnacentral:rRNA from 1 species